rnacentral:rRNA from 1 species
CUGGUUGAUCCUGCCAGACCCGACUGCUAUCAGAGUGGGACUAAGCCAUGCGAGUCAACGUAGCAAUACGUGGCAUACGGCUCAGUAACACGUAGUCAACAUGCCCAGGGGACGUGGAUAACCUCGGGAAACUGAGGAUAAACCGCGAUAAGCCAUGAUUUCUGGAAUGAUUCAUGACUAAAACCUAUAUGGCCCCUGGAUUGGACUGCGGCCGAUCAGGCUGUUGGUGAGGUAAUGGCCCACCAAACCUAUUACCGGUACGGGCUCUGAGAGGAGGAGCCCGGAGAUGGGCACUGAGACAAGGGCCCAGGCCCUAUGGGGCGCAGCAGGCGCGAAACCUCUGCAAUAGGCGAAAGCUUGACAGGGUUACUCUGAGUGAUUUCCGCUAAGGGAAUCUUUUGGCACCUCUAAAAAUGGUGCAGAAUAAGGGGUGGGCAAGUCUGGUGUCAGCCGCCGCGGUAAUACCAGCACCCCGAGUGGUCGGGACGAUUAUUGGGCCUAAAGCAUCCGUAGCCGGUCCUGCAAGUCUUCCGUUAAAUCCAGCUGCUUAACAGAUGGGCCGCAGGAGAUACUACAGGGCUAGGAGGCGGGAGAGGCAAGCAGUACUUUAUGGGUAGGGGUAAAAUCCGCUGAUCCAUAGAAGACCACCAGUGGCGAAGGCGGCUUGCCAGAACGCGCUCGACGGUGAGGGAUGAAAGCU